rnacentral:lncRNA from 1 species
CUUAGAUUACGAGAUAAGAUCAGUCAGCUUACAUUUAUUAAAACAAAUCGUAGAUUGGUUACUUAGAUAUUCAUCUGAAGAAAUAUCACAGGGUGAUUGGCAGAUUGAAAAAACCCACAAUAUACGGAAAACGUUUUGGACAAGAACAGAGUGGAAAAAGAUGCUCAAAUUCGGAUAAAAUUGGAAAGGCUUUCUGGCCAUUACAUAAUGAUCGUUAUAUUAUCAACAGUUCUUACUGCAGCAUUAACCUUUCUUACAUUUUUUCUACCGAUAAAUCUGGAGUCAGUAAUUGGAUAUAUUCUUACAGUGGUACUAGCUUGGUGGUCUUAUUGACGUUAUUUGCAGACACAAUGCCUUCAGCUACACUGUAUCCUUCAAUUCUAGGUAAUGUUACAGUUUGGACAAAUAUCUUAGUCCAAUCAUUUCUUUUUUCCCCAUAAAUUAAUCAGAUUCUGGAGUCAUUGUUUUAUGUCAUGUUUUGUUUUAUGCUUUUAAAAGUUAUGAAAGGGUACACAAUUUAAAUAUACAAAUGUGGUAUAACGAGACAACUAUCCCGCAUACGUUAUAACGAAGUGGAUAUAAGCAUUAUUAGGCAAUCAAUUCGGCGUGGAUAUUGAGAAGAAAAAAAACAUAUUGUACAGUUGGCUUUAAAAAAAACGACAUGAAAAAUUAGAAACAAUUCUACUGACAUAACCGACGGCCCAAAAUAUAUGAAACGUAAUAUUACAUACUUUUGUGGAUUACGUCGACUCACGUUGUGAAUAUUAAUUAUGAAUCUUUCAUUUAGUGUACUGCGAAUUCAAUUGAAGACAAAUACAAUCUUGUUUACAAAUAGAUUACAUUAGGCUAACACAUACAUUUAAUGUGGCUGCAAGAUUAUUAAUAUUCCCAUCCUUUACGACAGACAAAUCGUCUGAUCUGAAAGAUACACCAUCUAAUUGCACUAACAUCUUGUACUGUGCUACAACCUAGAGGAAAAUCAAUAAAUCUACAACCUAAUGCUAUAUUUUUAUGUAGCCUAGGUGGUCGAUUGGUCAAGGGCACUGAACAAGGUGCAUAAGAUGUUGCCCCGAUGUCAUAGAAGCAAGGACUUGAAUUUCGCUGAGUGAGGAAAACAAUAUUUGCUAACGCUCUGAUGUAUCCAAGAACACGGUAUUGGUGUAAAAAUAUCCAUAUCUACUGAUAAUUACAUAGAUUAACGAUUUUUUACAGGUCUUAUUUCAAAACUGACCAUUUAUUUUUAAAAUUCGACCACAAAGUGUACCGUGAAAGCAACGUUUUCGUCAUUAUUAAAAUAUAUUUUUAUUUUAUCUUUUUUGAAUUUGACAUAUUUAAUAUAAGGUACAGGUAGGGACAUAUAAGAAAUUGAAAGACAGAGAAACUACAAUAGGUCAACUGUGGCGCUGAAUGUUGCAAUAGUUACGUCAUAGACGGUGUUACGUCAAUGUGGAUCAAAUGCAUAGCUAGGUCAGUAGUUACAUUUAUUGAAAAAUGAGUUUAAAUGAUCCGCAUACUAGGAUGAAAGAAAGCAGUGAUUAAUUAUCUAAAAGAAAUUGUGGAUAAUCUAUAGAAUUCAUUUUUUCACAAACAAAUUGAACAACCAUGGCACUUAGGAAAACGCGAGUGAAUUUUAACGGUGUCAUGGAAAGCAACUUUAGGGCACUAAUAUAUCAGGGCUACAGGUUUUGUAUCGACGUGGGUUAAUCAAAUUCCUACAAAUAUUUGCCGUGUAUUUUCUUUUUUCAUGUUUUGUUUUACUUCCGUUCGUACAUAGUGUUCCAUUUGUUGGAAUCCAAAUGGUUUUCUAGUUUUUCGAUACUCGUCCUAAUGAUGUCACUUUAAGAUUGUUCAUUGAAUAGUUAUCUUGAGUAAAGUGGUUUCCUACUCGGUCGUCUGUCUUGUUCGUUCAAUUUUUUGAAAGGUUCAAUAUAAUCCUUUGAUACACGUGUAUCGCUCGUUUGUCCUAUAUUUAUAUUUAAUUUCGCAUUCAGUACAGUGUUUUGCAUACACUAAUGGGCGUAGUGCACAUAGUACAUGAUGUACAGUAGCGAGUAGAUGGUGUAUCUUUCAGAUCAGCUAAAUAAAUUUGUCGUAAAGGAUGAUGAUGCCACUUACCAUGCAGCCACAUUAUAUUUCAAUAUCAUUAUAAACGUCUAAACAUGUAGCUAACAUCCUCCGGAUAACCUAUUUUACUACAGAGCCAACUCCAUAAUUGAUGUAUACGUAUCAAGUUUAACCGAACAGUUUAAGACCUGAAAAAUUACAUAUUAAGUCUUUCGAUACAUGUAUUUUAGAUAUUUUGAAAUUAAAGCCGAGUGAACACGUUUGAAGGUUCAUAUGUAGAAUCGUAAUCUUUAAACUGAAUUUUAUUUUUCUUUGUUUCUCUGUUGCAGUGGCAUUAUUUACAGUUUCAUUAGGAAUGGCUUUUAUUUUGGUUAUCAUAACUAUUUGUGUUAUGGGACUGUACCAUAAACCAAAACGCCACAUUGCUCCGGAUUGGAUGCAUUUCAUUGUAAGAAAAACCCGGAUGUUGAAGUUAAAGUUAAAAUGCAGAGCCAGAAGAAUAAAUCCUAUAGAAAGCAAACAGGCUAUCAGGAAGAUGGCCA